GAUGAACGCUGGCGGCGUGCCUAAUACAUGCAAGUCGAGCGAACAGACGAGGAGCUUGCUCCUCUGACGUUAGCGGCGGACGGGUGAGUAACACGUGGAUAACCUACCUAUAAGACUGGGAUAACUUCGGGAAACCGGAGCUGAUACCGGAUAAUAUAUUGAACCGCAUGGUUCAAUAGUGAAAGACGGUUUUGCUGUCACUUAUAGAUGGAUCCGCGCCGCAUUAGCUAGUUGGUAAGGUAACGGCUUACCAAGGCAACGAUGCGUAGCCGACCUGAGAGGGUGAUCGGCCACACUGGAACUGAGACACGGUCCAGACUCCGACGGGAGGCAGCAGUAGGGAAUCUUCCGAGAUGGGCGAAAGCCUGACGGAGCAACGCCGUGUGAGUGAUGAAGGGCUUCGGAUCGUAAAACUCUGUUAUUAGGGAAGAACAAAUGUGUAAGUAACUAUGCACGUCUUGACGGUACCUAAUCAGAAAGCCACGGCUAACUACGU
rnacentral:rRNA from 1 species